rnacentral:rRNA from 1 species
UACGGAGGGGGCUAGCGUUGUUCGGAAUUACUGGGCGUAAAGCGCACGUAGGCGGAUUGUUAAGUGAGGGGUGAAAUCCCAGGGCUCAACCCUGGAACUGCCUCUCAUACUGGCAAUCUCGAGUUCGAGAGAGGUGAGUGGAAUUGCGAGUGUAGAGGUGAAAUUCGUAGAUAUUCGCAGGAACACCAGUGGCGAAGGCGGCUCACUGGCUCGAUACUGACGCUGAGGUGCGAAAGCGUGGGGAGCAAACAGG